AUGGGGAAGGAGCAGGAGCUGCUGGAGGCGGCCCGCACCGGGCACCUCCCGGCCGUGGAGAAGCUGCUGUCCGGGAAGCGGCUCUCCUCAGGCUUCGGGGGUGGCGGCGGCGGCUCCUCCGGGGGCAGCGGCGGCGGCGGUGGCGGUGGCGGCCUCGGCUCUUCCAGCCACCCUCUCUCCAGUCUGCUCAGCAUGUGGAGAGGGCCAAAUGUGAACUGUGUUGACAGCACUGGCUACACACCCUUGCACCAUGCCGCUUUGAAUGGCCACAAGGAUGUGGUCGAAGUUCUGCUGAGGAAUGAUGCACUGACCAACGUGGCUGAUUCUAAAGGCUGCUACCCUCUGCACUUGGCCGCCUGGAAAGGAGAUGCCCAGAUAGUACGGCUGCUCAUCCAUCAAGGGCCCUCGCACACCAGAGUCAAUGAGCAGAAUGCUCUUGAGAUCAAAGAACUCAAAAAGUACGGCCCUUUUGACCCUUAUAUCAAUGCCAAGAACAACGACAAUGAGACGGCCCUGCAUUGCGCAGCGCAGUACGGCCACACGGAGGUGGUGAAGGUGCUCUUAGAGGAGCUCACGGACCCUACUAUGCGCAACAACAAAUUUGAGACGCCUCUGGACCUGGCAGCACUCUACGGGCGACUGGAGGUGGUGAAGAUGCUCCUCAACGCACAUCCCAACCUCCUGAGCUGCAACACUAAGAAGCACACCCCUCUGCACUUGGCAGCCAGGAACGGCCACAAAGCUGUGGUCCAGGUCCUCCUUGAUGCUGGCAUGGAUAGCAACUACCAGACGGAGAUGGGCAGUGCUUUGCAUGAGGCUGCUUUGUUUGGCAAGACCGAUGUGGUGCAAAUCCUGCUGGCUGCAGGAAUUGAUGUCAACAUAAAAGAUAACCGUGGACUGACUGCACUAGACACUGUCCGGGAACUGCCUUCUCAAAAGAGCCAGCAGAUAGCAGCGCUUAUUGAAGAUCACAUGAUGGGAAAAAGAAGUACAAAAGAGAUGGAUAAAAGCCCCACAGCCCAGCCACCUCUCAUCUCCAAUACGGACUCCAUAUCACAGAAGUGUCAGAGUGAUGUGGAGAAAGCAGUGACUGAACUGGUCAUCGAUUUUGACACAAAUGCUGAAGAGGAGGGUCCCUACGAGGCACUGUACAAUGCUGUCUCCUGCCAUUCCUUGGACAGCACGGCCAGUGGGCGAUCAUCUGACCGAGACUCCACAAACAAGGAGGCUGAAGCCGCAGGAGUGAGAACUGCUGGAGUGAGGCCUAGGGAGCGUCCACCGCCUCCAGCAAAGCCACCACCUGACGAGGAGGAGGAGGAGGAGGAGGAGGAGCACAGAGAUAAGAAGUAUUUUCCCACGACAGCUUCUGAGGUCUUGGCCGCGAGACCUAGGAUUCAGGGGAGUGGAGCCAGGGAAGAGGAUGAGCACCCGUAUGAGCUGUUGUUAACAGCGGAAACAAAGAAGCCGGUGGCAGUGGACAGUAAAGUAAAAGACUACAGGCAAAGCAGCAGCAGCCGGAGCCAGGACUCUGCGGAGGAGCAAGACGGACAGGUCCCUGAGCAGUUCUCAGGUCUCCUCCACGGCUCCUCCCCGGUGUGUGAGGUGGGACAAGACCCUCUCCAGCUGCUCUCUGCCACUGGCCAGAGCCAUCCAGACGGGUCCCCCCAGCAAGGCACCUGCCGCGAGGCCAGCAUGCAGCUGGAGGAGACGGGUGCGCAUACCCCUGGAGCCUCUCAGCCCAGCGCCCUAGACCAGAGCAGGAGAGUGGGCUGCCCAUCAGGCUUGCCUACCACCACCAACAGCCGAUUGCACCCCGGAACUUUGACUCGCUCAGCACCUCUGCACCCUGGUGGUGCUGAGGAAGAAGGAGAGCAGCCCGGGGCCAGAAGCCGGGCCCCUCCCACCAGCAAACCCAAAGCCGAACUCAAACUCAGCCGCAGCUUGUCCAAGUCUGACUCUGAUCUCCUGACCUGCUCACCCACAGAGGACGCCACAAUGGGGAGCCGAAGCGAGUCCUUGUCCAACUGCAGCAUCGGGAAGAAGAGGCUGGAAAAGUCUCCCUCCUUUGCCUCAGAGUGGGAUGAGAUUGAGAAAAUCAUGAGUUCUAUUGGAGAAGGGAUUGACUUUUCUCAGGAACAGCAGAAGAUCUCAGGUUCGCGACCACUGGAGCAGAGCGUUGGGGAGUGGCUGGAGUCGAUUGGGCUGCAGCGGUAUGAGAGCAAGCUGCUCCUGAAUGGCUUUGACGAUGUGCGCUUCCUGGGGUCUAACGUGAUGGAAGAACAAGAUCUGCGAGAGAUUGGCAUUGGUGACCCGCAGCACCGACGGAAGCUGCUCCAGGCCGCACGCUCUCUGCCCAAGGUGAAGGCGCUGGGCUGUGAUGGGAACAGCCCCCCAUCAGUGCCCUCCUGGCUGGACUCCCUGGGGCUGCAGGACUAUGUCCACUCCUUCCUGUCGAGUGGCUACAGCUCCAUCGACACUGUGAAGAACCUCUGGGAGCUGGAGCUCGUCAAUGUCCUGAAAGUGCACCUGCUCGGCCAUCGCAAGCGCAUCAUUGCCUCCCUCGCAGACAGGCCCUACGAGGAGCCGCCCCAGAAGCCCCCGAGGUUUUCCCAGCUGAGAUGCCAAGACUUGCUCUCCCAGACGUCAUCCCCCCUGAGCCAGAGUGACUCGUGCACCGGGCGCUCAGCGGACCUCCUGCUGCCUUCGGUGGACACGGGCAGGCGGCGGCACGAGAGCCUUCACGAGCCUGUGGCGCCCUCUCGAACUGAGCGCUGCAGAACCCAGGAAGAGCACCGCGAGGCCAAGCUGACCCUUCGGCCCCCCAGCCUGGCUGCCCCCUACGCCCCCGUGCAGAGCUGGCAGCACCAGCCAGAGAAGCUCAUCUUCGAGUCCUGUGGUUAUGAAGCCAACUAUCUGGGCUCCAUGCUGAUCAAAGACCUGCGAGGGACAGAAUCUACACAAGACGCCUGUGCCAAGAUGCGGAAAUCCACUGAGCAUAUGAAGAAGAUCCCCACUAUCAUCCUGUCCAUCACCUACAAAGGAGUCAAGUUCAUCGAUGCCUCUAACAAGAACGUCAUCGCGGAGCACGAGAUCCGCAACAUCUCCUGCGCCGCCCAGGAUCCCGAGGACCUGUGCACCUUUGCCUACAUCACCAAGGACCUGCAGACCAGCCACCACUACUGCCACGUCUUCAGCACAGUGGACGUGAAUCUCACCUACGAGGUCAUCCUGACACUCGGGCAGGCCUUCGAGGUGGCCUAUCAGCUGGCCCUGCAGGCCCAGAAGGCCAGGCCUGUGGGGGCCCCCGCAGCGGAGACGAUUGAAACCAAGUCUACCAAACCAGUGCCUAAGCCUCGGGUCGGCGUGAGGAAAUCUGCACUGGAACCGCCCGACACGGACCAAGAUGCUCAGUCCCACGCCAGUGUCUCCUGGAUUGUGGACCCCAAACCAGACUCUAAGCGGAGCCUCAACACCAAGUAUGAGACCACUAUCUUCUAAAACAGCCCACUCCCCGUCUCCACUAGUGUCACUGUGCCUUGCCGCCCGGUCUUUCUGCUUUCUCAACUCCUUCCAGCUGCUGACGCCACGGCGCCGCCUCCACUGGGCCCUGCUCUCCUGGGCAGCUGCUCCAGACACCACACUCACAGCUGUACCCCACACCGCCACACACUGUGAAUCCUCCCCCUUGGGCUGAGGACAGCUUAGGGGCUGAGCCACUGAGGAACCACACUGUGCUGCGGACACACACACGUGGGGGCGCAGGCUCCUGCCACCACCACCGCCACCUCACCUGCAGCUUUGAAGACCCAGGCCCGACCUCUGCCUGUGGGGACCUCCACCCGACUGCUCGGCCUGGGCCUGCCGCCCCCAGGCCUUGCAGAGCGAGCCCUGCCCUGGCCGCGGGAGGUGCUGCAGGCCCCAGCAGAGGUGCUGACUCUGCAGGGCAAGAAGUGACUCGUCUGAACAGGUUUUUAAUAGAAAAAAAGCUUUUUUAUAAAAUGAACUUUUAACACUUGGCUCAAACCUCUGCCAACAGUUAGACAAAUGGCUGUGGGAUCCGAGGACAGGGGACCUGAGAUUGGCAGCCUCUGUCCUCACGGUGGGAUCCCAGUGUGACCUCUGUGUGGCUCAGGCCAGGGGAGUGGACGGGUUUCUCUGCUUUUCCAGCCCCCAGCCAAGCUGCUGUCCUUCACACACUGCCCGACUUCUCAUCCUGGUCUUGCACUGGACAUGGGCAGCUGGGCAGAAACAGCUGCUUCCUGCUUCCAGGGUUCCUAAUGUGAGGGUCCAGUGGCCAGAUGGAGACGAGGGGCCAGGAGCUCCUCCGUGCCACGGAGUCGAAGAGCAGCAGCUUGCUUGGGGCCUCAGUGGGCAGUCCGAUUUGUCCCAUCAGAGCUGUGCUGUUAGGGCGCAUUUUGGUUCUCUGAACAAUUGGGCUGAAGCUUGUAUUCCCUGGUGCUCAGCUUCUCGCUGGCUCCAGGCAUAGGAGAGGCCUGUUGGUCCCUUUCAUUCCCCCAGGGCGGCCUAAGAGCAGGCCUGGUCUGGGCCCACCAGUGCUGCUUAAGCCUCCCCCUGGCUCGCUUUGCUUUUACCAGUGGCCUGGGCUGUGUUCUUCACCCUGGGUUUGUUCUGUGGUGUUGAGAGGCAAAGCCGGGCCAGGCCUGUUGCUUCCAGGGUCGUGGGCAGGUACUGCCCACCAUGGUUGGGUUAGCAGGCCUCAUGCUGGGCCCAGGAUACAUGGUCCAGGACUCAGCACCACGCCCUCCCUCCCAGGUUGGAUGCUGAUGUCUGUGUCCCCGUCCACAACCCUGGCCAGAGCGCGAUGGCAGGCCUGUAUCUUGCAGCUGACUUGAGGCUGGGCCUCGUGGCUCCUGUCUGCUGAGCGUCUGGCAUGGCGGGUCCUGGGAUGCAGCUCCCCGCUGUGGGAGAGGCAGACUCCUCCUCCUUGGUACUAAACAAGGACCUCGACACCUGCAGUUCUUCUGUUGGCUUCAGGGCCUGUGAGAAUCCCCGUCAGUAACACUGCACAGUAUUCAGCCCCUGCUUCCUCCCAGAGCUGCCCAGGAAGCCUAAGGAUCCUGAGUGCACAGUGCUGCCUCGCGCUGCGGUGCGGGGGCGGUGCCGGGGCGGUGCCGUCAUCUUCUACAGGGGCCGAGUCCCAGCGAAGCCGGCGUCUGCUGGUGGGCAGGAGACCCAAACAGAACGUAGACACUAAGAUGCGUCCGGAGGCAGUCAGGCGUUUUUAGAGCAUAGGUGUGUCUUCCCCUGAAGCUGCUAUCUCUAUUUAUUCAGGGUGUGCUCGCACCCCAGCGCCUCAGCCGGUCUCCUCCGGCUCUGGUUUUGAGAUUGGCUUAUUUCAAAGACAGGAAUGUGAGGAAGGCUGCGCACUCCCCUGUGCCCCCUCCCGGCCCCCCGCCGCCUGCCCCGGGAAGGCCAGGCUUGUGGUAGGAGAGCCCUGUGUUUGCACCGAGUGCAGGUCACACCGGGAGGCCCAAUCCCUGUUUCUGAACUGUGAAGGAGCCCCGAGGUGGGGGACUCCAGCUGGGAGCAGACCCAACCCUGGUCCCCAAGCCCCCCACCUUCUCUUCCGCUUGCUCUGCACUUGCCACGCUCCGUUGCUAGCAUCAGAUAAUGGGGGGGGAGGGGUUCCUUGAGCAGCCUGGGCUGAGCCCACAGCAGGCACAGCCGUAGUCACCCAGGCACCGGGAGCCUGGGCUGAGCUCGGCCUUCGGAGACACCCAGGCCUGCGGAGUGCAGCUCACGGAGGUGUGGUUGCAGAUGGGGUGGCAGUGGGACUGAAUUGUAAUAAAAAUGUUAUUUAAUCUUUGUCUCUGUAUUUUGAUACUUGAAUGACUUCCCCUCGUUUCACUGUACAUACAUUUGUUCAUCUGUCUGAUUUUUGUCUGAAUUAUAGACAUCUUGUGGUACCAAACAUAACCAAUCUGUGUGGCAACAUAGACUGACCUCACUUCACGAGAGUGUAAAUAUUCCUGGGCUUCCAGCUUUGGUUUUGUUAUUUUCGUAACUGUACAACUUAGAACAGAUGGAAUGAAUAAAUGAGGAGC